UAAACAUUUUCAAGGUGCCUGAACCACGUGACUUUUUCGGCUAUGUGUGGGACAAUCGGAUGUAAACAAAACGUCGCUUCAGAAUGCCAUUUGUUUGCGAACAGUGUGGCAGAGAGGUCAAAACACGGUCGGGGAUCUCCUAACACAAAGCCACCCACGCACGGACAGGAAAAUAGGAGAUUAAAGUAUUUUUGGAAGCACCUUCAAGAAACGUACUGAUAUCUUGAUCAAUGAAAAGUUGUCAUAUACAAACAUGUAUAGUAAAUGUUCAAAAGUUUAAAUGACUGUUUGUUUUAUUACCAGAUGGUGCAAGUAUUGCAGGGAAAGAAAACAACCAA